GAUGAACGCUGGCGGCGUGCCUAACACAUGCAAGUCGAGCGAACAGACGCGGAGCUUGCUCCUUUGACGUUAGGGGCGGACGGGUGAGUAACACGUGGGUAACCUACCUAUUCGACUGGGACAACUUCGGGAAACCGGAGCUAAUACCGGAUAAUAUUUCGAACCGCAUGGUUCGAUAGUGAAAGAUGGCUUUGCUAUCACUUAUAGAUGUACCUGCGCCGUAUUAGCUAGUUGGUAAGGUAACGGCUUACCAAGGCAACGAUGCGUAGCCGACCUGAGAGGGUGAUCGGCCACACUGGAGCUGAGACACGAUCCAGACUCCUACGGGAGGCAGCAAUACGGAAGCGUCCGCAAUGGGCGAAAGCCUGAAGAAGGAACGCAGCGUGAGUGAUGAAGGUCUGCGGAUCGUAAAACUCUGUUAUUAGGGAAGAACAAUCUUGUAAGUAACUGUGCACGUCUUGACGGUACCUAGUCAGAAAGCCACGGCUAACUACGUG
rnacentral:rRNA from 1 species